CUGAACCUGCCCCUCAACCAAUUCAGUGCCAGCCUGCAGCGUUUGGAAGAAAUUUGGGUUCUAAUAUGCCUUCUAGAGUUUUGCCAUCUGUAGGGGCUUUCACUGUCCAGUGUGCCGACUGCUUUAAAUGGAGGCUCAUCCCAACAAAGGAGAAGUAUGAAGAAAUACGUGAACAUAUUCUAGAGCAGCCUUUCUAUUGCAAAACGGCUUGUGAGUGGCGGCCUGAUAUAUCAUGUGAUGAUCCAACUGACAUUUCUCAAGAUGGCAGUAGGCUCUGGGCAAUUGAUAAACCUAACAUUGCCC
rnacentral:misc_RNA from 1 species